rnacentral:sRNA from 1 species
UAUUUACUACUUCUAAGCAAUUUUUUGUUGGUUUUAGCUUCUUUUGGGACAAAGUAGCUAUAAGUGUUGUCUAAACACUCCUAAUCCAUCUCUAACUGAUAUAAUUAGUCAAAUGCAUUGGAUCGUGAUACAUUUUGACCAUGAAAACACUAACAAAGUUAUUUAUUGCUUCUAA